rnacentral:rRNA from 1 species
CCCUAGUAGCGGCGAGCGUAGAGGGAAGAGCCCAGCACCGAACCUCGCGCCCUCGGGUGUCGCGGAAUGUGGUGUUCAGGAGGACCGUGCGCGUCUGUCCGGUAUCGUCCAAGUCUCCAUGAAUGGGGCCAGCAACCCAGAGAGGGUGUCAGGCCCGUGGGACGAGCCGCGACCGUGUAUUGGGUCUCUCCUUAGAGUCGGGUUGCUUGAGAGUGCAGCCCUAAGCGGGAGGUAAACUCCUUCUAAGGCUAAAUACGGCCACGAGACCGAUAGCAAACAAGUACCGCGAGGAAAGUUGAAAAGAACUUUGAAGAGAGAGUUCAAGAGUGCGUGAAACCGUUCAGGGGGUUAAACGGGUGGGCCCUCGAAGGUCGAACGGUCCCCACUCCCGUCACCUGUAGUGCCGGCCCGUGCUGCUUUUCGAUUCCGCUACGGAACGAGGCUUGGUGCGGUUCGCCGGUCUACGGGGGCCGCUAGCUGGGGACCCAGUAGGACUCCGCAACCGGCUGGGAGGCCGUCAGAAGGGUUCUGUGAGGAAGCCCCCUCGUUGGGGUGGAUUCCGGGAUUCCGGGCGGUCCUCUCGGCCGUGAACCAAAAUUUCUCUCCUCACGGGGAGAAUGAGCGGAGAGUAGAGUCGGGUCCCACCCGACCCGUCUUGAAACACGGACCAAGGAGUCUAACAUGUGCGCGAGUCGUCGGGUACUACUAAACCCGAAGGCGUAAUGAAAGUGAAAGGCGCCCUUGUUGGCGGCCGAGGGGAGAUCCCGUUCUGCUCCGGUAGCUCGGGCGCAUCCCCGGGCGUCGAAGCCGCGUUGCCGGCUAGACGAACCAAGAGCGUACACGUUGGGACCCGAAAGAUGGUGACCUAUGCCUGGCCAGGACGAAGCCAGGGGAAACCCUGGUGGAGGUCCGCAGCGAUUCUGACGUGCAAAUCGAUCGUCUGAGUUGGGUAUAG